UUUUUAUCUCUUUAGUCAAUUGUUUGGUAGAUCUUUAUAUUCCAAAGGUUAUGUGGUUGAGCAUAUAAAUGCUAAACAUGUAUAUGCUUUUGCAGGUUGGAUUAAUUUCCGAGGCUUUUGUGAAUUUUCAGUUGAAGACUUAUGGGACAAGUUCAUGCGACACUGAAGAGGUAAAAGCAUUAAAAACAAUGGUCUUCCAGUAUGAUCCUGUGUUGUGGAAAUCUGUAUAGAUGUGAUUAAUUAUUGACUUUCUUGUGAAAAACUCUUCUUAUCUUUCUUGUUUGUAUGAUCACUCUCUUCUCUUUGGUUUUCUAUGCGACUAAAUUUUCUAUUAUAUUGUUAAUUAUUCAUGAAUUGUCUAUUUAUUUAUUUGGAAGAGGAGCUUCAGCUUCAGGUCAGGGAAAACAAAGGCACGACGUUGAAGGAAAUAGAAUUGCAAAAAUAACAGCUGAGCAAAAAUCACUUAAUGCAGACCUUAGUGAGCUCUCUGGAAACGAAAUUACACUUAGCCAGGGGAGUUUGAAGCAAGCAGUGUAGAAGAAAAAAAUUCGACAUGGAAUCUGAGAACAAAAUUCUUCGGCAGCAAACCUCGUUUACUGCCUCUAAGUUAGAAUCAGAACAUCCAUUAGCAUCAAGGGUUAAUUACGUCUCAAGAAAGUUUGCUGUAGUUCUGUCUCCUUUAUUCCUUCUCAUUAUCAUAUGAUAUUUUUCAAAAUCUACAAUCAAUGCUGAGUUUCUAAAUUAACUUUUCUCAUUUCUUGCAGCAUCAAGUUUUUCAAGGUAGGAGCCGUUGUCUGAGUUUUCGUUUCCCAAAUAUACUUUUACAUCCGCAACUUUUGACUAAACUUUCAGGAUGUUCAUAGUUAGCACAAGUUGUCUAUUUCUGAUGACCACGUCAUUCACUUGCUUCCGACAUCUUCCCAAGACUCGAUUGUGCAAGUUUAUACUCCAAAAGGCUGAAUCUGUCUAUUGAAUCAAUUGUCUGUAAAUUUUUAAAUUCUUGUGUCUAUGUUGUUGCACGUAUAAAUGCUAAACCUUAAAUACGUUUGCAGGCUGGAGAAACGUCAGAGGCUUAUAAGGAUUUUCAGUCGAAGACUUAUGGGAUUAAAACACAAGUACAUGCGAAACUGGGAAGGAGAAGGCCAAAAAAAUAACGCUCUUCCAGUUUGACCCUAUUACUUUAUUUUUUUCAUCUUAUAACAUGCACACUUACUAUCUCGUGAAAAUCUAAUUGUAAAUUUAAAAAUUUCGAUGGUUAUGUAGUUGCACAUUCAAAUGCUAAAUUUAAAAUGCUUUUGCAGGUUGGAGUAAUUCCUUAGGCUUUUUAGAAUUUUCAGUUGCAGACUUAUGGGAUCAAAGCACUAGACAUGCGACACUGGAGAGGAAAAAACAAAAAGUACAAUUGUAUCCCUGUUUGCCCCUAUUAUUUCGUUUUUUCAUCUUAUAACACUGGCAUUUACAAUCUUGUGGAAGUGUGUAUAAAUAUUUUACCAAUAUAAUAUUGUAGAUGCCUUGGUGAGUGCGAACAAUUGUCUUCAGGUAGAAUCUCACAUGCAGGAUCAUUCACAAUGCUGGAAGGUCUGUGAUCUCUCUUAUAUGUGUCUUUAAUCUCUGUUUACCGCACUACUGAGAGGUUUUUCUUUAAUGUUUUAAGUAGAUGACACUAUCAUCAAGACCAUUGAGACAAUUCCAUAUCAAGAAUUAAAGGGAUCUAGGGAUUUGAUGCUUCGAGUUCGCCGGAGGGAUUUAUAUCAGUUUUGUAAUGAAUAUGCUGUUCAAAGGAAAAAUUGGAGAAGUACAAGGAAGUCACUGCACAAGAUUGACCGUGUACCCAUGUACCCAAUGCAUGUUCUUGGAAAACAAUGUCUUUUUGGGCAUCUUCGUGUGACAUUAGCUGGAGAGCAAAAAAGUUAUGUUCGGGCAUUAGUUUUUCAGGUGACGUUAGCUGGAUUUUUUUUUUCUAUGAUAAGCUCUCUUUCUGUGUGUGUUCCCAUGUGCGUGAAUGUGUGUGUCUAUAUAUUCUAGUGGAGCUGUUCAGGUGACAUUAGCAUGAUUUUUUCUGAUAAGCUCUCUUUCUGUGUGUGCCCAUCUCUUUCUAUGUGUGUGCCCAUGUGCGUGGUUGUGUGUGUCUAUAUAUUCUGAUGGAGCUGCUGUGAUGAUUGUUGAUAAUUUGUGGAGCUUAUAAUUUGGGCAUUUAGAAACCCUCCCGUAUCUUGAUGUGGCGAACCCGGAUGGCUGCGAUUUUGGGGUAAUUUAUAUUUCCCCAAUCGCAUGCAACCGGUGAUUCUGCAACCAUGACGGGGUGGAAUGUUUCUUUGCCAAUUUGAACGAUUGAGCAACAGAUCUGAGCCUCGUUUCCUUUAAUUCACUGCAUACUCGAAUUGCCAAUAUUUGUGAUGAUUGUACUGUAUGUUCCCAAUACUUGUUUUUCCUCAAUAUAAUUUUAUGUUAAGAGUAUUUUUAAACUUUAUCAGAGUUGGCAACCCCCUUGAUUGUUGCCCUUGUUAGUUAUAAAUCAAUCCAUCUCUCUUGUUUUUUGUUGUUCCAACAACUCGUUGGUUGUUGGCCACCUUUAACUCUACUAUGGGUCGAGAUAAAAGCGCAAGGACUCGGUGUGACCUGGAAACACUUCAGAUAAGUGUCUGGCAGCCUUGUUAGAUUCUUCAAAGAUUUUUGCAGAGAGCAGAAGUUCUUCUUUGUUUCUGAUGAUCGCAUCAUCCACUUGCUUCCAACGUCUUACUAAGGCGUAAUUGUUCGAGUCAAUUGUUUGGUGGAUCUUUGUAUUCCAAAGGUUAUGUAGUUGCGCAUAUAAAUGCUAAACAGGUAUAUGCUUUUGCAGGUUGGAGUAAUUUCCGAGGCUUUUAUGAAUUUUCAGUGGAAGACUUAUGGGACAAGUUCAUGCGACACUGAAGAGGUAAAAGCAUUAAAAACAAUGGUCUUCAUGAUCCUAUGUUGUGAAAAUCUGUAUAGAUGUUAUUAAUUAUUGACUUUCUUGUGAAAAACCUCUUCCUAUCUUUCUUGUUUGUAUGAUCACUCUCGUCCCUUUGGUUUUCGAUGCGACUAAAUUUUCUAUUAUAUUGUUAUUUAUUCAUGAAUUGUCUAUUUAUUUAUUUGGAAGAGGAGCUUCAGCUUCAGGUCAGGGAAAACAAAGGCACGACGUUGAAGGACAUGGAAUUGCAAAAAUAACAGCUGAGCAAAAAUCCAUUAAAGCGUUGUGAAAUAAUAAUUUUCAUUAUGUACUUGUUUAUUGUUGCAUCCUUUUAUGCGUCAUUGCAGACCUUAGUGAGUUCUCUGGAAAUGAAAUUACGUGAAAUAGAGAAGAAAUAUGAAGUGCUGGACAAACUUAGCCUGGGGAGUUUGAAGCAAGCAGCGUAGAAGAAAAAAAUUCGACAUGGAAUCUGAGAACAAAAUUCUUCGCAGCAAACCUUGUUAAGUGCCUCGAAGUUAGAAUCUGAACAUCCACUAGCAACUAAGCAUCAAGUUUUUCAAGGUAGGAACCGUUGUCUGAGUUUUCCUUUCCCAAAU